rnacentral:lncRNA from 1 species
AUUAACAAGAGGCUGUCACAACGACAGCAAACCGGAUUUAUUUACAUUUAUUUGUGUCCUGGCAAUAUCACAAGAACCAUUACUGAUGAAUGGUGAAAGUGAAAAUCAUAAAUAUCAAAUUUGACCUCCAUUUUGUCAUCAGUAUCAACAUUUUGAAAUAAUAAUAUUUGAAAAGCUUAGAUUGAAUGGUUCAUGAGUAAAUGGAACAACAUGAAUGGAAACACCAUUUUACAAUCUUUCAAGAACCAUAACUCCUGAACAGUAAAAGUCAAAAUCGUCAUUAUGGAACUUAACCUCUAUUUUGUCAUCAGUAACAACAUAUUAAAAUUUCAAAAGCUUUGGUUGAAUGGUUCAUGAGAAAAUGCACGGACACGACGGGUAACACCAUUUUUCAAUCUUUCAAGAACCAUAACUCCUGAACGGUAAAAGUCAAAAUCGUCAUUAUUGAACUUGACCUCCAUUUUGUCAUCAGUAACAGCAUAUUAAAAUUUCGGAAGCUUUGGAAGAACAGUUCAUGCAUAUAUGCACGGACACGACUGGAAACUCCAUUUUUCAAUCUUUCAAGAACCAUAACUCCUGAAAGGUAAAAGUCAAAAUCGUCAUUAUUGAACUUGACCUCCAUUCUGUCAUCAGGAACAACAUAUUAAAAUUUGGGAAGCUUUGGACGAACAGUUCAUGAGUAAAUGCACGGACACGACUGAAAACUCCAUUUUUCAAUCUUUCAAGAACCAUAACUCCUGAACGGUAAAAGUCAAAAUCGC